rnacentral:rRNA from 1 species
UACGUAGGUGGCAAGCGUUGUCCGGAUUUAUUGGGUUUAAAGGGUGCGUAGGCGGUCUUUUAAGUCAGUGCUGAAAUACUCCAGCUUAACUGGAGGGGUGGCAUUGAUACUGGGAGACUUGAGUGUAGUCGAGGUAGGCGGAAUUGACGGUGUAGCGGUGAAAUGCGUAGAUAUCGCUUGGAACGCCAACGGUGAAAACAGCUCGCUGGGGGUGUGCUGACGCUGAGACACGAAAGCCAGGGGAGCGAACGGG